rnacentral:rRNA from 1 species
CCUACGGGAGGCAGCAGUGGGGAAUAUUGGACAAUGGGCGAAAGCCUGAUCCAGCAAUGCCGCGUGAGUGAUGAAGGCCUUCGGGUCGUAAAGCUCUUUUACCAGGGAUGAUAAUGACAGUACCUGGAGAAUAAGCUCCGGCUAACUCCGUGCCAGCAGCCGCGGUAAUACGGAGGGAGCUAGCGUUGUUCGGAAUUACUGGGCGUAAAGAGUACGUAGGCGGUUAUUCAAGUCAGAGGUGAAAGCCCGGGGCUCAACCCCGGAACUGCCUUUGAAACUAGAUAACUAGAGUCUUGGAGAGGUUAGUGGAAUUCCGAGUGUAGAGGUGAAAUUCGUAGAUAUUCGGAAGAACACCAGUGGCGAAGGCGACUAACUGGACAAGUACUGACGCUGAGGUACGAAAGCGUGGGGAGCAAACAGGAUUAGAUACCCUGGUAGUCCACGCCGUAAACGAUGAUAACUAGUUGUUCGGUCACUUGGUGACUGAGUGACGCAGCUAACGCAUUAAGUUAUCCGCCUGGGGAGUACGGUCGCAAGAUUAAAACUCAAAUGAAAUUGACGG